GGGGAUGUGUUGUGGCUCAGUGGCAGAGCAUCGGUUCUGCAUGCAGAAGUUCCCAGGUUCAAUCCUUGGUGUCUCCA
rnacentral:tRNA from 1 species